CUACCAAGAGAGAAGCCUGGCAGGCUACAAUCCAUGGAGUCACAAAGAAUUGGACACGACUGAGCAACUGGGUUGGGAAUCUGUUUUUUAAGAAAUUCUCCCUCCAGUAAUUUUGAUGCAACUGUAUUUAGAGAAAACACUGACCUAGGAGACUCCUACAACUGGGAGUGUGAUUGGUCCAACAGAGGAAGUGUUGUGCCUCUUGCUCAUGGCUGACCUCCCUGAAGCUGUUCUAAUCCUCUAGACCUCAGUUUCCUUUUCUGACACAACAAUGUGAGAUUCAAAUGAAGAGCCAGAUGUAAAAAUGGUUUGAAAGAACUAAAAUCUUGACCCCCUAGGAGAGUCCCUGAGCUGACUGUCAUACCAGGAGACACGGAUUCCAAGGCUGCAGACAGACGUGUUGGCCCAGGCUGGACUCCGCCUUCGCAGCCUGUGAGCUUAUUUAGACAGGGCGUGUCUCCAUCCUUGUCUCCAGGUGUCCAGAGGAAGACCUGACGCGUGGAGAGUGGAGAGUUACGCCAUUCUUAAUCAACUCAAUCGCCCCUGUUUUGAAUUUCCUUUUUCGGAUUGCUGCUUGAGUCAGUCGGGAAAGACUGGAAACCCAGGUUCUGUCUCUGCGGUUAGAAGAGGGCCAGCCCCUGUCGCAGUGCUGCCCUUCCUCUCCUACAACCUCAGUGACCUCAGCCUCCUCCCUCAGGAAAGGAUGCUCAGGUUUUCCAUUGAGGUGACCCGGUCCUCCCGGACUCGGAUUUCCCCGGCCUUCGACGCCCAAGGAUGCGCAGGACCCGUUGCCCUGGAAACGUACGAAUGAUUAAGUCGUAAGCCCUCUCUCUCCUCAAGUUUCUAGGUGUCGACUGGGAUGCGGGAGCCACCCUCCCCGCCAACAAGAAGGCCCGGCUUAGAGGUGGUGGCCGCGCGCGCGCCCGUUGCGCGGAGCGAGUGGUAGGGGGUGGAGAGGGCGAGCCCGCUGACCAGACGGCCAAUCAGAGCCGGGAAGGCCAGGGGUCUGGCACCUGAUGGCUACUCAGGCGCGGGCUGAAAGCUCUGUCUGCCCUGAGAUUGGUCGAACUUCCUGCCAAUCGGGGGCGGGCGCUAGAGGGAUUCGGCCAAUAGCGUGAGGCAACCGGGUCAGGCCAGUGGCCCUGUGGUCCCCACAGUGGUCGGCGAGCCGGUCGGCGCUGAGGGAGUCGCCGCCCUCGAGCCUGCGCGCGCUGCGCUCUCGGCCCCUCCGGCCCCGCCUGUCGGCCGCGCCGCGUCAUGCCAGGAUCUGCUGGGUGCUAGUGCCCGGGCUGCCGCCCUCCCGCCCGCCCGCCCGCCCAAAGCCGCGCCCACUGCCCAGAGCCAGAGGGAUGGUGGUAGUCACGGGGCGGGAGCCAGACAGCCGUCGCCCGGACGGUGCCAUGUCCAGCUCCGACGCCGAAGACGACUUUCUGGAGCCGGCUACCCCGACGGCCACGCAGGCGGGGCACGCACUGCCUCUGCUGCCGCAGGAGUUCCCUGAGGUCGUCCCCCUUAACAUCGGAGGGGCUCACUUCACCACACGCCUGUCCACCCUGCGGCGCUACGAGGACACCAUGCUGGCGGCCAUGUUCAGCGGGCGACACUACAUCCCCACCGACGCCGAGGGCCGCUACUUCAUCGACCGCGACGGCGCGCACUUCGGCGAUGUGCUGAACUUCCUGCGCUCGGGGGACCUGCCACCCCGGGAGCGCGUGCGGGCCGUGUACAAGGAGGCCCAGUACUACGCCAUCGGGCCCCUCCUGGAGCAGCUGGAGAACAUGCAGCCACUGAAGGGUGAAAAGGUGCGCCAGGCAUUCCUGGGGCUCAUGCCCUACUACAAAGACCACUUGGAGCGGAUCGUGGAGAUUGCCCGGUUGCGCGCUGUCCAGCGGAAGGCCCGCUUUGCCAAGCUCAAGGUCUGUGUCUUCAAGGAGGAGAUGCCCAUCACCCCCUACGAGUGCCCGCUGCUCAACUCGCUGCGCUUCGAGCGGAGCGAGAGUGACGGGCAGCUCUUUGAGCACCACUGCGAAGUGGACGUGUCUUUCGGGCCCUGGGAGGCCGUGGCUGAUGUUUACGACCUGCUGCACUGCCUGGUCACGGACCUGUCGGCCCAGGGCCUCACCGUGGACCACCAGUGCAUCGGGGUGUGCGACAAGCACCUCAUCAACCACUACUACUGCAAGCGCCCCAUCUAUGAGUUCAAGAUCACGUGGUGGCUGCCAGCAAAUGUGUUGUUUUCUGCUUAAAAUGUGGUAUGUUUGGUGUUGCCAUGCUAAAUCAAGCAGACCCUUCCCUGAGACAUGCAGCUGAACUUCCACCCAGACUUGAAGUUAAAGGGGGAUGGGCCCCCCUGGAGGUCCCUCUGCAGUUACCCUCACCUGGUCUCUGUCCCGGAAGCGGGUUCACCUGAUCCUUCACUGAGGACCCAGAAUGCCCAUUGCUGAAAGCCCUGUACCUCUUUUCUCCUGUCCUGGGCCUGCACCCCCAAGACACUCCAGUGCCUCGGUGGGGUCACAAGGAGGCACCAGCCUGGUAGCCUCUGGCCCUAGUCCCUACAUCUUCCUGAUGCUGGAGUUGGUUGAGGCCGGCGAUCCUUCCAGGUAUGAGAGUUGCACUGUAAUAAACAGAUUCAAGGUCCAGAGGCACCCUGUGAAAGAACCCCUACAGGGAGUAUCUGCAGCAGUCUGGAUCGGUCAAGGUGAAACUGGCAACUUGGUUUGCACAAUGAGGGCGGGUCCAGUUUUUCAAACACUUUGGCUUCAGAAGAGGCUCUGUUACAUGUACAAGACCCCAAGAGGCCAGCAGAGGAAUCCGGCUCUGGUUGCAGCUGAGAGAAGCCACUGCAAACUGCAGGCAGGUACCCACGUGCAGCAGUGCUUAGUUGCUUUGCUCAGUUGUAGCCCGCCAGGCUCCUAUGUGCAUGGGACUCUCCAGGCAAGAAUACUGGAGCGGGUUACCAUGCCCUUCUCCAGGGGAUCUUCGUGACCCAGGGAUUGAACUCAUGUCUCUCUUGCAUUGGCAGGCGGGUUCUUUACCACUGAGCCACUUGUGCAGCAGAGGCCAGCCAAAACCCAGAGCUCCCCAGAGUGGACACGAAAAGGGACAAUGUUUUCUUACAACGGCUGAUGGGCAUGCCAGGGGAGGAAGCUGAACUCCUGCUCACCUCUUUGCCAUCCAUGUGCCUUCAUGUCCCACCCAUUCAAAAUGGAAAAUAACAAAGACUUCUUGGACCUUACAUCUGACAUAUCAAUCUAUAAGGUCUCCGUCCCUGAAUUGAAUUUGGAGUCAUUUGUAUCAGUCAGGAGAAAAAAAAAAACUACACAGUAAUUUGAAUAAUUUAUAUCUUGAAUAUAAAUAGUUACUAAUUAUGAUUGGAGGAAUGAAGGAUUGGCUAAUAAAGAGUAGGGAUAACUAUAAAGAAUAUAGGAAUAGCCAAGAAGCAGCCACUAAGACUGAGAUAGAGGGUCUAAGGAUGAAUACCCCCUCCCCCAAGAGCUGAUAUCCAGACCUUUUUGGACAAGGCAUGGCCAGGUUCAUUGAAUGACAGAGAAGUCAUGGGGGUGCCGUGCUGGUGAAACUUGCUGGAAAUCUACCCUCUGAGGUGCUGGAAAAAUCUGUUCCUUAGGGUGUGUCUUGCCAGAGGCUCUCUACUACAAAACUACCCCUGGAGGUGCUGGGGAAAGCUCUUUGUGACUGCAGACCAACUUGUAUGGCAGGAGCUGGGUGCUGGAGAAGCUAUAUGAGCUGUGAGCAAGCAUACCAGAACCAGAAAGGAAACAUCUCUCCCCCUGCAGUGUCUCACUUAUACGUGGAAUCUAAAGUAUGGUACAAAUGAACCUAUUUACAGAACAGAAGCAGACUCACAGACACAGAGAUCAGACUUGUGGUUGCUGGGGGUAGGAGUCGGGGAGGGAGAGAGAUGGACUGGGAAUUUAGGCUUUGUAGAUGCAAACGACUAAAUUUAGAAUGGAUAAACAACAAGGUCCUACUGUAUAGCACAGGGAACUAUAUAAUUAUUGUAGAAAAUAAUGGCUCAGUGUUAAGUCAAAAUUCUUGUCUUAGGCACACAUUAUUAAAAUUUGAAAUGGAACAGUUUGAACACCUAACUAAAUCAUUAUAGGGAUUUCCCUGGUGGUUGAGUGGUUAAGACUCCACACUCCCAGUAGAGGGGUCCCAGGUUCGAGCCCUGCUCAGGGAACUAUUUAUUACUAGAUCCCACAGGCCACAACUGAGAGUUUGCAUGCUGCAAUUAAAGAACCCACGUGCAGUGAUGAAGACAGAAGGUCUUGCACGUCACAGCUAAGACCCGGUGCAGCCAAAUAAAUAAAUUUUUUAAAUAAAUAAUUAUACCCAUGGGUUAUAACCCAUUGAAUAAAAUAAGAAUCCAUGAAUUCAUAUUGACACAAAUGAAUUGAAUAAGUAAUGGCAUAAAAGAGAUAGAAAGGAAAGUUCUUAAUUAGCAUAAAAUGUCAGCUACUAUAGAAAGAAUGAUGACAUUAGAAAACCCCCAUUAAAAAAACUCCAUUUUGUCAACAUAAUUAGAACUGAAUCAUCAUCAAUCAUCAGUGGACUCUAAAAUAAGUUUUUAAGAAAAAUAGCAUCUUUACAUAGUCUCAAAGUAUUUUCCUAUAAAUUACUAAAUAAUUAUAAAGUAAAAAUAGUGACUUUACAGUGGAAACACCUGAAGGACUCCACUUUCAUCAUUAAUCAAUGUCGUUAGCCAAAAUGGAACAAACAGACAUCAUGUACAUCACCUGUCUUAGUGUCUGCAGAGGAACACAACAUUUUGUGAUUCUUCUGCACCCCCCCCAAAAAAAAAUGAACAGCAUGAAUCUAAUCAUGAGAAAAAAAAUCAGAGAAACCCAAAGUGAAGGACAUGUUUUAGAAUGACCAUCUUAUACUUUUGGGCUUCCCUUAAUGGCUCAGCUGGUAAAAUAAUCCUCCUGCAAUGCGGGAGACCUGGGUUUGAUCCCUGGGUUGGGAAGAUCCCCUGGAGAAGGGAAAGGCUACCCAUUCUAGUAUUCUGGCCUGGAGAAUUCCAUGGACUGUAUAGUCCAUGGGGUCGCAGAGAGUUGGCUACAACUGAGCGACUUUCACUUCACUUAUACUUUACAAAAAUGUCAAGAUUAUGGAAGACAAAUUUAAAUGGAAGAACCAUUCCAGAUUAAAGACUACCUAAGACACAUGACAAUUAAGUGAUCCUGGGUUAGACUUGGGACCAGGGAAACAAUAGCUAUAAGAGACAUUUUUGGCACAAUUGAUAAAUAAGGAUUAUAGAUUAAAUUAGAGGAUUUUAUCAAUGUUAAUUUUCUUGAUUUUGAUAAUUUUGCUUUGGUUUUUCUCAGAGAUUAUUCUUAGGAAACACACACUGAAAUAUGUAGGUGUUUGCAACUUAGUCUUAAGUUCUUCAGGAAAAAAGGGAGAGAAAGAGCACAAAUGAUAAAGAAAAUUGGACAAAUCUACAAAUUCUAGAAACUCAAAAAACUCCAUGUAAGAUUAAUUCAAAGAGACCCACAGAAAACAUUAUAAUCAAAGUGUAGCAAGCCAAAGAAGAAUCUUGAAAGCAUGGAGAGAAGGGGAUUGGUCACUAGUAGACCUGCUCUAUAAGAAAUGCUAGAAGGACUUCUUCAAACCGAA